UACCUGGUUGAUCCUGCCAGUAAUAUAUGCUUGUCUCAAAGAUUAAGCCAUGCAAGUCUAAGUGCACACGGCCGGUACAGUGAAACUGCGAAUGGCUCAUUAAAUCAGUUAUGGUUCCUUUGAUCGCUCCACCCGGUUACUUGGAUAACUGUGGCAAUUCCAGAGCUAAUACAUGCCAACGAGCGCCGACCUGGGCCGCCCUUCUCCCCUCGGGGCGGGGGGUGGGUACCCGGGGACGCGUGCAUUUAUCAGAUCCAAAACCCAUGCGGGUGCGCGGGCGGUGGAGAGGGGGGCCUCGCGCCUACCCGCCGCCGUCCGCCCCCGGCCUCGCUUUGGUGACUCUAGAUAACCUCGGGCCGAUCGCGCGCCCUCGCGGCGGCGACGGUUCAUUCGAAUGUCUGCCCUAUCAACUUUCGAUGGUAGGUCCGUCGCCUACCAUGGUGACCACGGGUGACGGGGAAUCAGGGUUCGAUUCCGGAGAGGGAGCCUGAGAAACGGCUACCACAUCCAAGGAAGGCAGCAGGCGCGCAAAUUACCCAUUUCCGACACGGAGAGGUAGUGACGAAAAAUAACAAUGCAGGUCUCUUUCGAGGCCCUGCAAUUGGAAUGAGUGCAUCCCAAACCCAUGGGCGAGGACCCAUUGGAGGGCAAGUCUGGUGCCAGCAGCCGCGGUAAUUCCAGCUCCAAUAGCGUAUGCUAACGUUGCUGCAGUUAAAAAGCUCGUAGUUGGAUCUCGGGGACCGGGCCGCGCGGUCCGCCGCGAGGCGAGCCACCGCCGGUCCCGGACCCCCAGGCCUCCCGGCGCCCCCCGGAUGCCCUUGACUGGGUGUCCUCGGCUUGGGGCCCGGAGCGUUUACUUUGAAAAAAUUAGAGUGUUCAAGGCAGGGCCGGCACCGCGCCCCAUUGAAUACCCCAGCUAGGAAUAAUGGAAUAGGACCCCGGUUCUAUUUUCUGUGGGUUUCCGGAACCCGGGGCCAUGAUCGAGAGGGACGGCCGGGGGCAUUCGUAUUGCGCCGCUAGAGGUGAAAUUCUUGGACCGGCGCAAGACGGACCGGAGCGAAAGCGUUUGCCAAGAACGUUUUCAUUAAUCAAGAACGAAAGUCGGAGGUUCGAAGACGAUCAGAUACCGUCGUAGUUCCGACCGUAAACGAUGCCGACCCGCGAUCCGGCGGCGUUUAUUCCCAUGACCCGCCGGGCAGCGUUGCGGGAAACCACGAGUCUCUGGGCUCCGGGGGGAGUAUGGUUGCAAAGCUGAAACUUAAAGGAAUUGACGGAAGGGCACCACCAGGAGUGGAGCCUGCGGCUUAAUUUGACUCAACACGGGGAACCUCACCCGGCCCGGACACGGAAAGGAUUGACAGAUUGACGGCUCUUUCUCGAUUCUGUGGGUGGUGGUGCAUGGCCGUUCGUAGUUGGUGGAGCGAUUUGUCUGGUUGAUUCCGAUAACGAACGAGACUCUGGCAUGCUAACUAGUUACGCGGCCCCGCGCGGUCGGCGUCUGCAACUUCUUAGAGGGACAAGUGGCGUUCAGCCACGCGAGACUGAGCAAUAACAGGUCUGUGAUGCCCUUAGAUGUCCGGGGCUGCACGCGCGCCACAAUGGGCGGAUCAACGUGUGCCUACCCUGCGCCGACAGGCGCGGGUAACCCGUUGAACCCCGCCCGUGAUGGGGACCGGGGAUUGAAACUAUUUCCCGAGAACGAGGAAUUCCCAGUAAGCGCAGGUCAUCAGCUUGCGUUGAUUAAGUCCCUGCCCUUUGUACACACCGCCCGUCGCUACUACCGAUUGAGCGGCUCAGUGAGGUCCUCGGAUCGGCCCCGCCCGGGGCUCCCUUACCGGGGGCCCUGGUGGAGCGCCGAGAAGACGAUCGAACUCGGUCGUUUAGAGGAAGUAAAAGUCGUAACAAGGUUUCCGUAGGUGAACCUGCGGAAGGAUCAUUA
rfam:Danio rerio chromosome 4, GRCz11 reference primary assembly.